UUUUUUUCUAUUGAUGUAUAAAACUAUAGUACAUACCUCAAAUCUUCUGCACCUAUAAAAAUUGUUUUUUCCAAGUCUUAAUUUAGAAUUCUUCUACCUCAAGUAGAAGAAUAUAAUAAGAGUAUGUUUCAUUUACUUUAUAUACUUCCUUUUAAAAAUCUGUUAGGAUGAAACAAUUACAGAAUCCUAUGUGUGUAAAAAAUUAAUAUGAUAUAUAUAAAGCCAUAUCAGAUAUUUUAAAAUUAACUCCAUUAUAUUACGAAUUCAAAUUCUAUCAGAAAGUAAUUAUAGCAAAUGGCACAGAAAAGCUAAAAAUCACUGUCUUCAUUUUAACCCUCUACUACAAUGGGCCCUUUUUCCCCCUUAUAAACUACAUAUAAUCAAUACCUUUGGUUAACAAUUCAAAAAAAAAGACACAAGUUGGCUACUCUUUUACUACAACUUUAUUGAAAACAUAUGGCUCUCCCUACCAAAAAUGAAUUCUCCUUAAAAACAAUUUCAGGUCAGGUGCAGUGGCUCAAGCCUGUGAUCCCAGCACGUUGGCAGGCUGAGGCAAGCAGAACGCCUGAGGUCUGAAGUUCAAGACCAGCCUGGCCAACAUACUCAAAGCAAACCUAAUUUCCAUAAAUAAACUCAAACAACUUCACAGCACCAGGGAAGCCUGGGCGAGCUGGCUCCCUAGAACUAAAGGUACCUGCAACCGUGGUGUUCGUUUUAAAUUCAGUUUUGCACACAUAUCUUUCUACAAGCAACUGCAAAGCUCCCAAGAUUUAGGAACACAUCCAAGUUAAUAAGAAGGCAUUUCACAAGUAGGAACUGCCUGACACUGCCUCUCAGCAUUAGCAAAUGAGGGGAAAGUUCACCACAUGCAAGGGAAAGCCAACCACGCGACCAUGGGCACGUUCAUAACUCCUGCAACUGCUCACACCCCAAACCAGACAGACAACACCCAGGACACUGCUGUACAUCUUACAAAAUACCAGUUCUUGCUUAAGUCCCACCAGACCCAAGAAAAAGAGCCCAGUCCAACCCCAAAUUCGGCCAUGAGUACCAACAGCCAUAUGGACAGAGCCAAAUGCUCUAAGAACAGUGAAGGAUGCAAGCUACAAAUCACAACACAGAAAGCACACCCUCAUAUGCCUAGGCGCUGGCCACCCCGCUAUUUCAAAGGCAGAAUGCCAGACGACCAAGGUCCGGCCGGCUGGGACCCUUCACCGACCCUGUAGCCGCUACAGGCCCCUUGACGCUGUAACGACGGCAAAUCCCAAUGUUAACCCGUCAGGCUGCUCGCCCACCUUCCAGGAACACAACUAACAGACCCUUGGCAACCUGGGGGGCUGUUGGUGGCCUUCUAACGGGACCGACAGCCCCCCCAAACCCUCCGAAAGGCAGAAACCCUCAACUCCCUGCUUCGGAGACG
rnacentral:lncRNA from 1 species